AGGCAGCUGAGAAUUUUUCCCUGACGAUGGCGCCAGCAGACGGAAGACAAUUUGAAUGCAUUAAUGGUGUCCACUGUUCGUUGUACGGAAAAUUUCCACGCGUCAUUUUAAAAUUGAUUGAAUUUGGACAAUUGAUUGUAACGAUGCCUGUUUGAAGAACAUCGUUGCAGUGUGCAUGAGUCGUUUCAAGGCCGGCAGGAGGGGAGUGGCAGAUCCACACGCGCACGAAAUUGGCAAACACAUUUUUGUCAUGUGGUGUGUAGCCAACAAACAACAUUAUUAGAUCAGCAAAUUCAUCCUUAGAACAAAUUCUUUCAACGCAAAACAUGGAGCGUGACGCCCCGCUGGCCUGACGACGACCCACCCCUCCGUAACGCCUCACCCCACGAGAGAUGGGCGCUUUCCUGACCAGGCUUUCCCCCUGUCCACUCUGCAUAAGAAGAGAUAACAUACAGGGUCACCAGAUGGCAGCUGGGGAAGUUGUUGCCACCGGAAUUUCAAAUUUAAGUUUAGAUGCCGGACCUGCAGAUGCAAAUCUAGGAUUUUUUGGAGAAGAUGGAAGUGAAAAAGCUGCCACUGUUUUUGUAUUAGUCGUGCAUUACCCUAAAGGAAAUGAGACUGGAACUGAUAACGACGUUAAGAAACUGAAGGAAACAUUCUCAAUGAGUCGGAAAUGCCGAUUCUUUGCGUUUUCACCACUAAGGGAUGAACUUCUGGAAUAUCUUGCUAGUGAAAAUAAAUUGAAGAAUAGUUUCAGAUCCAGUUUAGAUCCAGACAUUUUUAUAAUCGUGUUUUUGGCACAUGGUGAAAAGGGUGGAAAAAUUCAAACAUCAGAUGGUGAAUUUACUACAGCGGAGAUAUAUCAGAAACUGGAAAAGACGUUUCCUCAGUGCCUGAAACUUCUGUUCCUUGGGCCCUGCCGGGGGGAUGCAGAAGAAAAUUGUUAUCAGACUGAUCACCAAGAUACUAAUAAAUUCAUGAGGCAAAUCACGGACGGAAAUGAAAAUAUGUUUAAGGUUUCCUUGGAUCCAAAAAUACACAAUAUGGUCGUCUUUUAUGCGACAAUGGAAGGAUACGCAUCUCACGGUCAUUUGGAUGGAACAUGGAUGGUUAGGAGUCUCUGCGAGGUACUUGAUGAGAUGAGAGAAAACCUAAGCCUUUUAGACUUCCUCACACGUGUCUUAAUUAAAAUUAACAAUAUCCAACACGGUGAAUGUUUUAAGCAGACGCCAAAAUUCAAAAUCAGCACGCUGGGGAAAAAAUUUACGUUCAUCCCUAACAAAACGAAUCAGGAUGCUGAACCAACUCCAGCAACUGUAGCUGAAACCAGCUCAAGUAGCUCACCCCAUGGAAAUGGAUAUUUGUUUGAAAAAUCCAAUAGUUGGAAGAACAAAGAUGGCAAACUACCACGAAAACGUGCGUUAAUUUGCUGCCAUAACCAAGAAUUUCUGAAACUUCGAGAAAAGUUUUACAAUUAUGGCUUCGACGAUGUUCGUACACACGAUAUCCACUCAGAAAAUGAAUAUUUGAAGCUCUUAGAGCCUUUAGAUCUUACUGAUGGCUACGGAUGUCUCGCAGUUUUUAUUUAUGCUCAAAUUUCUGAUGAUGGAAUUUACAUUGAUGGAAAACCAGAGAAAACGCCAAUUCACGAGUGGAUUCAGAAAUUUCUCAGCAUACAUUCUGAAAUUUGGAAAGGGCGUCCAAUACUAUUAUUCUUCAUUAACAAUACGUUCGUAACAACACAGGGGAUAAACGUAACUCCAAAAUCAUCAGACUCUUCUAAAGUGACACAGCAUACUAAGCAAAGCAAUUGGCUAGCGUUAGUCAUCAAAGAUGCUAAUAAAGGAGAUAUUCUUUUACAAAUGUUCGCCAGAGUGGAUGGCAGAAGCUUGCAGGAAUACCUUGGAGAUCUACUCAUUGUUGACACUCCGGAGGAAACCCUCCAGAUCACGUUGAUUUCAACUUUGCAGGAACACUUUCACUUUCCUCCCAGGAGGCGUUAUGUCCAUCCAAAGUUCUCGGUGCAAUGUGGGCAAGAUCUGAAAGAAAAGAAAGAUUUACAAUCAUUAACACAACAUAUAAGUGAAUAUGAAUAUCGAUUCAUUGUGAUAUCUGCGCUUGCUGGAUCAGGAAAAACAGAAUUAUUGAACCAGUUAAAAAUUGAAUUCCGAUCCAACGAAGUGCUUGAAAUCCCGUUUACGUCGGUGAUAAAAAGUGAUAGUAAGUCACCACCGUUUAAAAGUUUUACGGACAUUUUUGAACAAAAGAUGAACAAAAAAAAAGGUGAUACUGGCGAUUCAAUUUUUGGAGAAUCAUUAUUACUGUUUGAUGGGUUUCAUGAAUUGACCAAAAUUAAAAGGGGGAAAAUACAACAAUUUUUCAAAACAGCAAUGAGUGAAACAAAAAUACCCAAAAUAUUUAUUUCAAUCCGGCCACAGGAUGAAAAAUAUUUCAAAGAUCUUAACAAUGCUGUCUAUAUUAAGAUACUGCCAUUCGAUGAAAUACGGCAAAAAUACCUUUUGGAUUUACAUAUAGAGGGGAAAAUAGACUGUCAAGAUGAGCACAAAACAAUUGUUCGAAAUGUUUUUCGAAAGCUGGUUGAUCAAAAAUUUAGUGAUGUUUUAAGCAAUCCUCGAAAUUUGACAUUACUAAUUGAUGUAAUAUAUGAUAACAAAGACGCAUUUCAUUCUGAUCAUUUAAAUAUUCAUAGCAUAUCAAAAUUGCUGUUGGAUAAAAAUUUAAAUGGAUUAGAGAAAAAAAUUGAUGAACUUGAAAUACGUCUAUUAAAUAAUCAUUACCUCAAGAAGAACGCUGCUGAUGAUGAUGAGAGCCUUGAUUAUCUUGCAGAAAUAUAUUUCCACACCAAAAUGUUCCGCUUAUAUCUUGCUGUUGAAGCAAUAUAUGGCACCCUAAUUAGUGAAGAAAAAACUGAUAAACUUGUUACAGAUUUCAAAAAAGCACUUCUUGAGAGUGAAGAUGUGAAUGUUUACAUCGAAUUAUUUAAUUAUCUCAAACAAGAUUGCAAUACACUAAUUGCAGAAGGUGACUUAAUCAAAAGAAUUAAAGAUGUUACGCUUAAACUAAAUAAUGCACUUCCAGAAACUGAAGACAAGUACAAAUAUUUAAAAAUAGAACUAAAGUCGUUUUAGAAACAUGCACUAAGAGAAAUUCCUACUUUUUUCAUGAGUUAGAUUAGCCUCACUCAGUUCAAGAUUUAUGUUCUUUUUACUAUGCAGCAGUAAGUUGGAAUUUGUUAGACUAUUACUCGUUGAAUUUCACCUAGCAUUUAGAUUUUUUUAUUUUAAAUUUAGAUUAUUUUUGUCAAUAACUAAUUCUAAGUCACAUAGAAUAAAUUUUUGAAUACAAUGUGGUGAAAAUUUGACUUACAUAUCAGUAAUUUGGAACGCCUAAUGAAGCACUUCUGAUCAUCCGAAUUUCAAGCUGAAGAGAUCAAGUGUAAACAAUUGGCACGGCAAGCUUACCCUUACCUGAUGAACUCAAUACAAAUUCAUGGUAAUUUGAAUUUAAAAUCGGCUUUUCCUCCAUUGUUUUUGAGAGUUGUUUAUUGUUUCAGAAAAACAAUAUCCUGCUCUACAUGUUUCGGCUGCGGGCUGCAUAUUGUUUUUCUGAAACAAUAAAAAAAACUCAAAAAAGCCCAUUGAGGAAAAGCAGAUUUUAAAUUCAAAUUACCAUGAAUUUGUAUUGAGUUCAUCAGGUAAGGGUAAGCUUGCCGUGCCAAUUGGAUACUUGAUCUCUUCGGCUUUUAAUGAUUUGACGAUGUUUAGUGGCAAGUAGGCUUUGUUUAAUUAAUUUAAACUCGCUCUUUUCUGUUGCUUUUACCUGCUUGAAAGAGCUACUUUUUACUUGGCAAUACGCAGUAAAAAAAAUUACUGUGUAACAACGCAAACAGUUCGGCAGGGUAUCUCCGCGUUUCAUUUUACAUACCUGUGCUGGGUGAAAUUCAUCCUUUUGGUCAAACAAGAAUCAUUCAAGCUGGCCGCUCAGCUAGCGCACACGUUUAACAGUGGAAAUGAGUAGAUUCUACUGAGUGAAAGAGAUGGAUUCUCUAACUGAGCUGUGAAUUUAGCCACUCGGUAAUAAAAACAUUGUGCGUGGUUUGAAAUUUAAAAAAAUCGGUAGAAUUAAUUGAAUUACAAUUAAUGGUACUCUAACUGAGCCAAUUCUGUAUUUAUUUUUCUGAAUGAUGGGUGUAAAUUUGACGUGACCCUCCCUUGGGCCGGCCAUUGACCUCGCCUGACCUGGCCGACUGCUCGGCCGAGAGAGUCUGACCGCCGCAGAUUUGCAUCGCGAGCGCUGCGUAAUUUUAUUAAAGGCCAUUUCAAAUUUAAAUCAAAAUAAUUUAGAGAGUCCAUUCCCGCCGAACAUUUGUAAAAGCCGCGUUUAACUGAAAAACUCAAUCUCAAAAAGUUCUCGAGCGCGCCUACUUCCGCGGCGCCACUGACUUCCGCGUCCCUACCUAGCGUGCCCAACGGACAAGUCAGACAGCCUGGGGGACUCAAGCCGUUCAGACCUUUAUCACUUUUGCUUUAAAAACGCCAUAUUGUUCAACCACACUAGCAACACAACUCCGGUAAAUUCUCAAUCUGCCCCAAAUAACCCCCUUUUAAAAGACUCUCUCAUUUUAACUAAGUAAUUUUAAUUGACCUGGCCUAAUUAUUAGAAGAUAUUUAAAUAUAAUUAGUAAUUAUAAACGUGUAAUUUGUUAGAUUUAAGAAAAUAUAACCUUAUCACUUAUUAUUAAAUUUAAACCCUUUGUGUAGUAAUUGAAGUUAAACAACCCAGAUUAAUUAAGAAAUAGAGUAAAUUAAAAUAAGAGAAUUAACUUGACUUAAUUAAGAGAGAUUUAAAAUAAAAUAAGUGACUUUGGCCCACACGUGUCCCCACGUGUUGAGAUUAAGAUCUUAAAUUAAAGCCUAGUAUAAUCUCAGAUUAAAGCUAAACUUAAAGGUAAAUUAAGAGAAAUUAACAGGGAUUAAUGAUCAGCUGAAGGAAAUAGGCAUUAAAGCAAAACUCAGACUAGUCAAACUUAAAAGUUAACUUGAGAGAUAAGCAAAUGAAGAUAAAAGGCCAAUUAUUCCCCGAAACCCAAUAGUAAGCCGAAACUUAAUUAAAUUUAACCCCAAAUGAGUUCUAUCCCGGGCCAGUCACCAGCUCUGGUUAAAUUUUGAUGCGCUCGGAUGGAACUUGCUGAUUAAUUCAAGAGUGUCGUGUGGUUACACGACAAAAUUCUUACAGGUCUCUCAAGAGACAGACUUCCAAGCAGCGAUAGUCAAGUAUGCGCGCGGAAAUGUAGCUUUUAUGCAAACUUGAGUACCAAUUUGUUUGAAGAAAUUGACACUGGAGGAGAUUAUCAUGGGAAUGAAUAGAUUGGGCUUCUUCCUCGUUGCGAAAAUUGUUGUAUUAAAAAACAAAUGGCCAACUUAUUCACUGAUUAUAAAUCGUUAUAAUUCUAGCGAAAAAACAUUGCAUUGCAGAAAUUAUUUCCCGUGGAUUAUCUAAAGAUUAAGAAACAUAAAAUAGCGAUGUAUGAAUAUGUAGGGAGACUUUUGCAACUUUCAAUUACCCGUGCGAAGCAACUGUUUGUGAUCAGAAAUUUGCUGUGAUGUCUUCGUGCAUCGUGCAUAGAAGUUUAUAUUCGUCAAUAUGGGAGUGCAUAUGAUUUUGAACAACUUGAAAUACACAAAAUCGAUCUCUGUAUUUUUAAAGAAGUUAUGAGAGUUUCCAAAUAUACCAAAGUUGCAUACAUGCGUUGAUGAAAAUUUGCUCGUUUCAUAUCAAAAGGAUAAAUACGAUCUCCCGGAAAGUGGAAACUAUUCGUUGAGAGCUAUAAAUAUAAUCUGUACAUAAAAGUGUGUUUAAUGUCAACUUAAAUGAUACGCCAGCGAUGCAAAAUGAUGUGUGUGGAAACAUCCCUGUGCAAAAAUCUUGUGCGCCAGCAAAUUUUAGCCAAUCUUUUUUUGCGACAGUGUUAAUUUAGCUUACGGCCAAUUUUUGCGCGGACCUCUCUGCAGGCCUGGCGUUUUAGUAAUUUGUUUGCCCAGUGGUGCUGUCGUUUCUUCACAUAUUGUAAAUUUUUCUCUUCAGACUUGAUUUAGGAAGAAUUUAACAACAAUGACAACAACCACUUAUUGUUAAAUUUGCUAAUUUUGUAAAUAAAAAUAUAGUGAAAAUAAACACGUCAUGGCAAUUUUCAUUCACCUUAAAAAGGUCUUUGAUGUUCUUUUUUUGUAUAACAAAAAAAGCAAAAUUAAAGCAUAAUUUUUUAUGGUGAUAGCCCUUUCCUCCAACCGCAAAUAAGUUUUCUUUCUAAGCAUAUGCAUUAUUUUUGUCUGUGAUCAUCAUGAGUUGCCGUUGAUGACAAUGUCAUUUUAUUUUUCCCACGAAAAUAUGCUUUCAGUCUUGGUUUAAUAUUAUAACCGAAUUCUGUCAUGAUAAUGGGUUUUAUGAUAAAUGAGAAAUUCCAGGAGAGAAACUCCUCCUAACUUUAAUUUAAAGCCAAUAAGGAGAUGAACUUAAAGCUAGAAAUAUGUCACGUGACAUAUAAUUUAUAUGAAACAAAAUAAGCCAGUAUAGGGCGCAUGGUUUUUCGGGGGUGCGGCGAAUGGGACGGUCUUCUCUCUUCUUACUUGCUGAGCGGAAAGCGCGCGCAUGAGUAUAAUGGAAUGAAAUAUAAAACUGCCUUUCAAUAUAUAAUUUUAAAUUUAACAAAAAAUUAUACAAAAAUCCUUAACACUAAUAAAAUAUCAAUAUCUGACCUUCCCCUACCGCAACCUAAUCCACAUCCUUUCUUAACAUUUUCCCUUUUUUUUUUUUUUACAGCUUUGUUUGUCAUCAUAGCGUGGACCCAAAAUAAGGAUAUGCCAGCAAAAAAUGAUAAUUUUUUAAUAAAGUUGAACCCAAAAAUAAAAAAAAAAUAAAGAAAUUAAUUGGGUGGUGCCUUCUGUACCACCAAUAAAGGGCACAGGUCGACAAGACUUUGUCUUGACCUGACCUAAAAAAAUCUCAAUUUAGCAUGACAAAUUAUAUAAGAUAAAAUGAAAUAUAAAUCUAAAGAUAUAAAAUAAUUCUUAUAAUUAAAUCGAUCGAUAAAAAAUCUUAUUAUUAGAAAUCUCAAAAAUAGUCCCUUCAAGAUUCACAAAAGUGCCCAAAAUCUUGCUAGAAAACCAAUGCCAAAUAUAAAAUAUCUGGAAAAUUGGAGAAAUUUCUUCUAAAAUUAUUCAGUUUGCGCUUUAUUUUCGUAAGAUUGCUAAAUUUUAAUGCUUCGUAUUUUUAUUUUAAUGUGACUAGGUUGCCUUGUGUGGGAACAUGUAGACUUUUUGAAAAGUUCAUAAUCCGUAUAAAACCUUAGACUUUCUUACAUAUUAAUGACUUAUCGUUUUCACCCAAUUUCCUUGUUAGCCUCACCGUAGCUACACAAAAACUUAGCAUUUGUCAAGCAUAAAGAAAACUCGAUGGCUGCGGUUUCCACUUAAUGCUGACCUGCACAGGUGGCGUCGGUGCCGCUCUCUUCUACCUGCCUCAGGUCGCAUCAAUAUUUCGAGGUCAAUCUCUUGUGGCCUCAAAUGCAAAAACCAUUUUGCGCACAGCAACACACGCAGUCGGAGCUCGGAGCCAGACCUUAUUCGAAGUUGUCCUGAGAGAACUUGUAGACUUUGCGAAAAGUCCCAUCUAAAAGCUUGGACUUUUCUUGUCAUUUUAAUUUCCUUGUCAGCCUCACCGUAGCUUUCACACACACUCGGCAUUUUUCAAGCAAGAAGAAAUCUCUAUGGCUGCAUGCGGUUUCAACUUCA